GGGUGUGACUAGUGACAGAGAGAGGGAGGGGGUGACUAGUGACAGAGAGAGGGAAGGGGUGACUAGUGACAGAGUGAGGGAGGUGGUGAUUAGUGACACAGGGAGGGAUGGGGUGACUAGUGACAGUCACCACCUCCUUUACUCUGUCACUAGUCACCCCCUCCCUCACUCUAUCACUGUGUCACCCCCUUCCUCACUCUGUCACUGGUCAUCCCCUCCCUCACUCUGUCACUAGUCACCCACUC